CGUGUCGUUGGCUAAGUCCGU
rnacentral:siRNA from 1 species